CCUACGGGAGGCAGCAGUGAGGAAUAUUGGUCAAUGGACGAGAGUCUGAACCAGCCAAGUAGCGUGAAGGAUGACUGCCCUAUGGGUUGUAAACUUCUUUUAUAUGGGAAUAAAAUGUUCCACGUGUGGGAUUUUGUAUGUACCAUAUGAAUAAGGAUCGGCUCACUCCGUGCCAGCAGCCGCGGUAAUACGGAGGGUCCGAGCGUUAUCCGGAUUUAUUGGGUUUAAGGGGAGCGGAGGUGGAUUGUUAAGUCAGUUGUGAAAGUUUGCGGCUCAACCGUAAAAUUGCAGUUGAAACUGGCAGGCUUGAGUACAGUAGAGGUGGGCGGAAUUCGUGGUGGAGCGGUGAAAUGCUUAGAUAUCACGAAGAACUCCGAUUGCGAAGGCAGCUCACUGGACUGCAACUGACACUGAGGCUCGAAAGUGUGGGUAUCAAACAGGAUUAGAUACCCCAGUAGUC
rnacentral:rRNA from 1 species